rnacentral:tRNA from 1 species
CAAGACGUAGCUAUAACAGAAGCAUUCAGUUUACACCUGAAAGAUGCCUGCCAACUGCCAGGCCGUCUUGA